rnacentral:rRNA from 1 species
UUGGGAGCUCUCCCAUAUGGUCGACCUGCAGGCGGCCGCGAAUUCACUAGUGAUUCGUAUUACCGCGGCUGCUGGCACGAACAUACUCUGGUCGAAUUCGCCGCGGACCGUCAUUAUCGUCCCCGCCGAAAGAGUUUUACACCCUAGGGCCUUCAUCACUCACGCAGCAUCGCUGGAUCAGGGUUUCCCCCAUUGUCCAAGAUUCCCCACUGCUGCCUCCCGUAGGAGUCUGGGCCGUGUCUCAGUCCCAGUGUGGCUGGUCGUUCUCUCAAACCAGCUACCGAUCAUCGCCUUGGUGAGCCGUUACCUCACCAACUAGCUAAUCCGACGCGGGCCCCUCCAACAGCGAUAAAUCUUUCUCCCUAAGGACGUAUUCGGUAUUAGCCGCA